rnacentral:rRNA from 1 species
UACGUAGGGGGCAAGCGUUGUCCGGAAUUAUUGGGCGUAAAGCGCACGUAGGCGGCUUAGCAAGUCGGAAGUGAAAUCCCUCGGCUCAACCAAGGAAGUGCUUUCGAAACUGCUGAGCUUGAGUACUUAAGAGGAUCGCGGAAUUCCCGGUGUAGAGGUGAAAUUCGUAGAUAUCGGGAGGAACACCGGUGGCGAAGGCGGCUUCCUGGACCGACACUGACGCUGAGGCGCGAAAGCUAGGGGAGCAAACGGG